rnacentral:rRNA from 1 species
UACGUAGGGACCAAGCGUUGUUCGGAUUUACUGGGCGUAAAGGGCGCGUAGGCGGCUUAACAAGUCACUUGUGAAAUCUCCGGGCUUAACUCGGAACGGCCAAGUGAAACUGUCAAGCUAGAGUGCAGAAGGGGCAAUCGGAAUUCUUGGUGUAGCGGUGAAAUGCGUAGAUAUCAAGAGGAACACCUGAGGUGAAGACGGGUUGCUGGGCUGACACUGACGCUGAGGCGCGAAAGCCAGGGGAGCAAACGGGAUUAGAUACCCCGUUGUCA